UCUCUCUCAGGCACAUACCCUGUGCCAAAGCAUAUGAGAAAUUCGGAGUAAUCUUCACCACAAACAAACCCCACCCCGCCGUGCUCUCUGCACGCUGGGGCACCCGGGUUCUGCCUGUGAGGGCCUGGCGCGACCUUCGCGUCUGCAAUUGGCAUCAGAAAAGCAGGGGGAGGGGAGCUGGCUUUUCCUCUGGAAGAGUCUGACCCCCUUUCACCCUUUGGGAGAGUCGUUGCGAAGAUUGUGUGUCGAAACACUUGAGUGCAAUACGCGGCGUGCCUCGGCAUUCUCUCCUUCGGGGGUGAAGGCUGAGGUAUAAUUCAAUUCCGAUCAUUCUGGUGGGGA
rnacentral:RNase_P_RNA from 2 species